rnacentral:lncRNA from 1 species
GUCUGCUCUGAUGGGAACUGAAAACAUUACCGCUUCAGCAAGUCAAAAGGGACUGAGGAGCCACCCAUAUAUGAGGGCUUGUUCUUGGCCAAGGACGAGGAAGUUGCUACCUUUGUUGACCUUGUCAGAGGCAACAUGAGAAGUGCAAAUGAAAGUGCUGUGUGCGGUACUGCCAAGUUCACCGCUGGCAGAGAGAUGUCAAAAAAGUCUGGUGCUCAGAUAGACGAGGAGGGCAUUCAAGUUGCAGUUUGCAGGUAUGUAUGAGUUUGUGUAUGAUUUUUGAGUCUGAUAUUUGAGUUUUAAUGGUAAUCCAAGUCUUAAGGUCCUUGCACACCGAGUCCGAAAUUUUCACAUGCGUUUUUUCAUAUUCAUGAUUCUGUGGCUCUGAAUUGUCAAAACACCAGUCCAACUGCUUGCUACUGAAAAACGCAGAAAAUCUAACCCGCUUCUUAUGUUUAUGACAGAUCAAAAAAGUCUGGUGCUCAGAUAGACGAGGAGGGCAUUCAAGUUGCAGUUUGCAGGUAUGUAUGAGUUUGUGUAUGAUUUUUGAGUCUGAUAUUUGAGUUUUAAUGGUAAUCCAAGUCUUAAGGUCCUUGCACACCGAGUCCGAAAUUUUCACAUGCGUUUUUUCAUAUUCAUGAUUCUGUGGCUCUGAAUUGUCAAAACACCAGUCCAACUGCUUGCUACUGAAAAACGCAGAAAAUCUAACCCGCUUCUUAUGUUUAUGACAGACGAAAGUUUAGGAGGGAGUCUAACCACUAGAUUUUCUUCUGAUUUAUCAGACAUGGGUUUCUCUUACGAGGACUGAACCAUUACCGUGGAGAAAUAUUUGCUUACCCAAUGUUUCUUCAAAGAGAGAUGUCAAAGAAGGCAAAUGUUACCUUCUUCUGUAUGGAUGUUACAUGCAGGUAAUCCUCAUUGUCAUAUUGCAAAUCCAACUCCAUGAUUAAAUUGUCUUGUUUCUCAGCUUUACAGUGA